GAUGAAGAACGCAGUGAAAUGCGAUAAGUAAUGUGAAUUGCAGAAUUCAGUGAAUCAUCGAAUCUUUGAACGCACAUUGCGCCCUUUGGUAUUCCGAAGGGCAUGCCUGUUCGAGCGUCAUUUCACCACUCAAGCCUGGCUUGGUAUUGGGCGCCGCGGUCGAUCCGCGCGCCUCAAAGUCUCCGGCUGAGCUGUCCGUCUCUAAGCGUUGUGAUUUCAUUAAUCGCUUCGGAGUGUGGGCGGCCGCGGCCGUUAAAUCUUUCACAAGGUUGACCUCGGAUCAGGUAGGGAUACCCGCUGAACUUAAGCAUAUCAAUAAGCGGAGGA
rnacentral:misc_RNA from 1 species